ensembl:lncRNA
GGGACCCGGCGCUCUUUGUGUCGCGGGAGCGCCUCGGGUGCGGGCGUGCGGCACGGCCGCGACCACCGCCGGGCUGCCGGCUGAAUGAGAGCGCGGGGCCCGCUCUUAUUUCUCCCCGCCGUUGUGCGGAUGGGAGACCUUUGCGCUACGCCCUGAGCGCUUGCGUAGCGAGUCUGACGGCUGUGCCGAAGCGAUCGGACGUGAAAACGGGCGCCUUAACGCACCUCCACAGCUGAUCUCGGGGAGAGCCUUGCGUAUAACGAGGUGCUGUUGUCAUUCGUGCGCAAACACCGCACGCUGGCUUCUCCUGGGUGAUACUGGGGGCUGCAGGGAAAGCACAGCGCUGAGCAGGUGGCUCCAGCGCGGCCAUAGAGGCACCCGUGCAUCCAGCAGUCUGGGUGCGGAGAGGUGGCUCUCGCCCUCCGUUACAGGGGGCCACGCUCCCCAGGCAGCCAAAGGAGCAGCAAGGCAAAAGGCCAACUACAGCAAAGACCCGAGCCCUGCUUACAGGGAGGUCGCCCAGCACAAAGCCCACCAGGACGCCAAAGGCGCCGGCAGCGCUCAACUCAAAUGCGACUGCGGCCCCGCUAACAGGACAGGUGCUUUGCCCAGGGAGCCUCUCUCCUUCCCCCCCGCAUCUGCACGCUUCCGCAUCCUCUUCUUGCUCGCUCCUGCCGCCCAGGUCCCCACGCCGCUUCUUCUUCUUUCUUCUGCAGCAGCUCCUGAAACAUCAGCGGGGACACCAUUAGACCCGCGCAGUGGCAAGCCCCCCACCUGAAGGAAAAGGCAAACGCAGCAUUGCAAAGGAACUCGGCACGCAAACACCCAGCCAAGAAAGGCCUCGCAUCCCUGUGUUCCCUCCAUCCCCCCCUCCCCCCCCCCCCGCCUCCCAGCUUCAUCCCAGCAAAAACUACUUCAAGCAGCUUUUCUCACCUCACUGAUGCGCGGCGGACUUCCAGCCGGUGCUGCGGGGGAUCACAGAGGCGGGCAGGCUGGGCAAAUGGGGCUGGGCAUACAAAAAGCAGAGGCCAAAGAGCCAGCUUCCCUGCUUACAGGGGGCCCUCAGCCACUGCCUCCAAUGCAAAGACAGCAGUUUUCAUUGCAGUAAUUCUUCUGUACAAAAUCAAUGAUGUGGCCAUCUCGGCUCUUCUGAAAUCUGAGUGUACCCCUUGUGAAAGGGAGGAUCUUUUGCCCAGUGAUCGUCUUCUCUUUUUGUUCAUAUGCCAUUCUGGGUUCCAUAAAUUCAUCUCAUUUCUUCAGUUUCAUUGUUCCUUUUAACAGUCACAUACACAUCAGGUGUUCCUUCCUGAGUAGUAGAUGCCCUCAAAUAUAAUUAAAAAUAAAUUUAUAUAUAUAUAUUUAAGGAAUUCUUCACAGUGACACGUCCCAUCUCUACCCGUACAGCAAAAAUCCCUUCUGAGCUCCGAGAUACCAUUGCUGAGGGAAAAGAGUGAAAGAAGCUGAUACAUGAUGUAGGAAGUAUACCAUUUAUUUAUCAUCUCAGGAUGUUCUUGUUUUAUAGAGCUGCUUGUAUUUUAUAACUCAUUGACACACGGUGGUUGGAAAUGCUCACCUAUUGGCUCUGUCUUGCAGUGUGUUUGCUAAAUUCAUUUUGUUCUGUCCUUGGCUACAUUCUUUCUCAUUGCAACAGUGGUCUUAAAAUGGAGCUGUGGAGGUGACACUGAUGGACACAGAACGUUAUGGCGCUCCUGCAAAUGGGCGAUGCCAAGUAGGCUGUAGCAGUAGCAGAAAUGGUCUCAUCAGCUGCGAGGAAAAGGUUCCCUUCAGGGGAUCCUCUGCCCAACAUGUCAGCUGGGCAAAGGGACUGCGUGGAGAAAGGAAUCCAGGACCUGAGGGAAGCGGCUGUGCUUGCAAGUGGUUAACAUAGGAUUUUACUAUUUUUCAAGUGCUUUGUUCAAGCUGUUUAUUCAUGAAAUGCAAGUUUAUCUAAGAGCCCCGGUAGGUAAGUAGGUUUCGGCCGUGCUGAAGCUGUUUCAGGAAAGCUGGGGAAAAAUAAUGUUUAUGCCCUGGAAGACAUAAUUCAGGGCGUUCAUUUUGUAGUUUGAAGCUUACUUCUGUUUUGAGUUUGUUUGAAGUACUUUGAGAAAUACAGUGUCAGAAAGUUGAGAUUAAGAAGACAUUAAUUGUAGGUAAAUUGAUUUUGAAGUGCACAUAAUUCCUGCAUGCCCUAAUGGAACCGGCUACAUAACACCAGAAUAACAAUACUAAUGAUCCAAUAAAGGGAUUUUUCAGGCUAACACGACAUCAUCGCAAAGGUUCUCCUCAUCAUAUCAUAAGAUAGUAAUUUUAUCACGGUAUGUAAUAUUAGUGAUUAUAUUCCUUCAGUUCCAUCACCCUUCCUGUUUCUUGUGAUUAUGAUCCAUCACAGAUCGGUUUACUAAACUGUGAGUGAAGGUAGAGAGGAACAGCUGAAGAAUUUUUCACAUUCCUCAGUUUCCACUUUAUCUUACAUACUGAAGGGGAAACAUUCAGAUAGGUUGGCUUAGGAGGCCAUCUACUCUCUUUCAGGUGUAGGACUGAUUCCUCAGGGACUUCCAGAUGCAAAAAUUGCAAUGAUAACCAGACGGAUGCAAAUAAAUACAGAGGCACUCAGAAUUCCUGACAUCAACUGAAUCUAAACUGACAGAACGGAUUUCCUUCUCAUUUGUUUUUGUUUGAAACAGUGGUGCUUACUAGCACUUUUGGGAAAGCACUCAGUAAAUACAGAAGGCUGAAAAAGUAUUGUCUACUUUGGCUUUAAUUACAACAAAUGCAUAAGUAAAUAAAUAAAUUCAUGAAGAAGUCUGGUCCUGUAGAUAGUUUCUACUAAGAAAAGCAGGGUUAUAUUCUGAAAGAAAGAACAACCUUUCCCAGCAUAUAUAGUAAAAUAAAACAUCCAUUCUUCCAUUCAUCUUUUCUUAGCAAUAAUGUACCGUUACUCAUGGCUUGCAUUUACCUAUCAAAAGCGUAAAUGGAUUAAGCCCACAAAUGCUUCCCAGAGCUCCAAACUAAAUAGAAGGCUCAGGAAACAUCGGGAGGCAGCCCCAACUUCCACCAACACUGAUCAGUUCAGGAAUUUUCUGUCAAACAGCGUACAACUCGCUCAGCAAUAAAUCCACUUGCCCUUAUUUCCAAUAUCCUACCCUGUUUUACUUCCCAGGAAAACAACGACAACAACAACGAUACAUCCCCAACCCGCAGAGCAAGGACAUGCACAAUGCUGGGUUUUAUCCCUCUGUUAAAACAAAUAAAACUACAAAUCAGAACGAAAGAAAAUGCUUGCAGAGUUCUCUGUCAGUUCUGUAGCCAUUUACAGACCACCACCACCAAGGGCACCUCGUUGAGAAGGCUGAAACAUCCCCGCCUUGUAAUUGUACCACAGUUGUGAAAAUAAAAUUCAUUUCCAAACAUUUCCCUAAGAUGUUCAAAGCCUGGACCGCCAAAGCAAAAUGCACCAAGACCCCAGCAUUUCAUCUAGCUGUCUAAAAUAUUAAACUUUUCAUAUAUGCCGUAUUUGAAUGCGUCCUUCUCCAAGUGCACUUCAGAGCGCUCGCCCCACAUCAGCAACGGUAGUUCCGGCAUACUGCAAUUUACCGAUCCCCACGGGAAUGCCUGCAAGGAUUCCAUCUGAAGGUUUAGGCGACAUCCAAAGUUAGUGGGCGCUUCAGCAGCUGAAAUAGAAAUGCUGUUCAGCUCCCCGGCCAUCUUCUCCAGACCGUGCCUCCAAUAAGAACAGUACACUUGCAUGCGUUCCUGAACUACAAUGGGACAGGACAGUGAUUAAAGUAGUGAAGCAUAGCGCAGUAUCUCUCUGGUAACAUACAUUGUGUAUGGAAUGGAGCGUAAAGGGAAAUGAGAUGAACUUUGUACAGCUCACCUUAAUUAAGUCGUGUCCUGAUGGAAAUUAAUUUGAAUGUUAAUAGCAUGUAUAAAUGUUGUCUGAGCUUUCUCUCAGUGCCCACUUCAAGCCACAUGCACUGUCCCGGGUCUGUCAGUUCCGGGUGUUCACAUACAUUCUCCUAUUCAUCCAGCUGGCCGUCACUUUGUAUCUUGCAAGUGAUUAACAGCAAAUUCUAUGGACAAUAAGAGUUACAUCUUAGCACCUUUCCAAACAUCUGCCAGCCAGCACACCACGCUUCAGCCCCACCACAGGCUUCUGAAUUUCACACUGUUUCAGGAGGUUUUAUUAAAUUAAGACUGUGGAGCACCAUGUUUUUGUCGGCCCCUAGUUUUACUUUGGUUUGUAGUCCCCCUGAGCACUGAAGGUCUGCACGUUUGUUCCAACAAGACUUAUUUUUCUUAUUAAUUAAUUUAUUUUUUUUUCCUUUUUCUUUUGUUCGGAAUUGGGGCGAUGGAAAGCGGAGCGGAGACGCACCCAGCGGGGGCCUCUGGAAACCGUUAAGGCCGGGAACGUUCUUCGGAGGGGAGACGCUCUAUCGCGCCGGUCGCGUCGGAUGCAAAGCGACCCGUUUGAAUUGGCACAAUUACUUAACUUAUCGAUGAAUCCCACAGUGCGGCGAGGAGAAGCGCGUAACAAACUGUACUUCAAAGUGUAAUUUAAGUCCCUAAUUCAGAUCCGGAGUCCGCACGUCAAACUGUCAGAGCCCCGGGCCGUCCCUAACGAGGCCGGCUGCGCUAAGGAGGCAACGACUCCCAGGUGCCGCGGGGCCGCGGCCGGCCGGGCGCAGCUGCGCCUCGUCGGGAGCCGCGGGCGGGGCCCGCCCCAAAGCCUCUUAAGCUCCUCCGGAGGCUGCCGGGAGCCACGGGGGAGUUUCUGCGGUUGUGGAUAGGCGACGGCGGGGGUUCUGUUUCUUUGUCGGGCCCUGGUGUUGCUGAGGCUGAGAAGCGGCUGCUGUGAGCCCUUUUGCGGCUGAGCGUGGGCUGCAGCAGAGGCUCUCAUCGGCCCGAAGCAGUGAGCUCGUGGAAGCGGUGAGUGUUUGAGAGUCGCUCGGUAAGAUCUCUCGUGCUGGGGCUCCUGUAGGGUUGCUGCUCGACUGCCUCCGUGUCUUUGGGAUCGGCACGGCGCCGCCGCUGGGCUCCCGCGUGGCUUUUUAGUAGGACCGGCACGGGGCCGCCGCCCGAGACCGAGCACGAUCCCGGGGUGGCCUCGGCCACUGCGGAGGGUUUUGCGGGUGCUCUCACCCAUCCCGUUUCCAGCGGUGGGAGCGAGCAGGAAAGACAGACCGGCCAGGCGGUGGAGUCUCUCUUCGAGGGAGAGAACGGGAACGUAUCGAGCUCCACCUGGGGGUGAAUGAAGAACCAGCGGAGCGUUUGUGCGUGAGGCUGAAGAGGCAGCUGGAAGUGGUGCCCACAGCUGUGAGGCCAGUUCUCAUGGUAGGCUCCAGGAGUUUCCUGCAAUGUGUCAAAGGUAAGAUCUUCUGACACAGGUGAUGAAGGAGGCAUUGAGGAGAGGGGCUGCUGGAGCUCCCUAUUGCAGAAGAGCCAUUUGGGGACAGGAAGGCCAGGGGCAGCCUGGAGCGUGCCAGUCGUGAGACCACAGCGUUUGGGAUCUUGUGUGGAAGCUGCAAAGCAAUGAGUAGGAUUGAAACACUGGACUUAGAGGGAGCCAAGUUUGUCCUCUUGAAGGGCCUACUUGGAGGUAACCCUUGCUCAAGCAUAGGAAGGGGUCCUGUGAAUGCUGGAGCAUUACUUCGUCCAUGCUGAGGUGCGCUGCGUCCCAAGGAGGAAGGAACUGCGCAGGAAUGGUGGGAGACCUGCAGGGCUGACUGAGGAACUUGAAGGGGAGAAGGAAGAGAGGCUGAGGAAGGCCAAGUCCCUCUGAGUAUCAGCUUUGGGAGGGAGGUCAGGGCUGAUGGAAGUUUGUCAACAGGAGAGACUGGAGAAAUUGCAGGCCUGUGCUUCACAAGGCAAGUAAUGGAGGAUGGAGGAUGUGCUGGAUGCCUCUUGGGUUUCAGUGGUUUCUGCUGAGAGUGCUCCUGGGGAACCUGGGGUCCUGGUGGAGAGAGUCCCUGAGGAAGGAAGGAUGUCUUCCCCUCAGUUGCGGAGGAGCUGGUCAAAAGUGGUUCAGGCAGAAAGGAGGCCAGCAAAUGCCUGAGCUGUAGAGGGCUAUGCCUGUGCCCGCUGAGAGCUGGCAGCGGUGACUGGCAAAUGGCGCUCUCUGUCACUUUUCCCUGCUGUUUCCUGUGGGAAAGGUACCUGAAGACUGGAGGAUGGCGGAUGCCACCGCAGCCUUCAGAAAGGGUGUGGAGGAUGGCGUGUGCAACUUGGAGGUAGGUUGGCCUCACCUCACCUCUGUUCCUGGGGAGGUGACGCAACAGCUUGUUGCAGGUGUCAUUGCCAUGUGACCGGAGGAGAAGGAAUUUGCAAGGAGCCGUCCAGGUGGAUGGACAGAGGAGAAGUCAUGCUGGACCAAAAGGGUGAAGGCUGCAGAGAGGCUUGGCUGGAGCAGGUUCAGGCUGGAGGCAGGAUCCUGGCGGUGUGAGUGGGGCGCCCCUGUGGAGCAAGGGUGGAAGGUGCGUGGCAGGUCCUGUCCCGGAGGAGUGGAGUUAAGGGUCCUGGCGUGGCUGAUGUCCUGCAUGGAAGAUGGAGAUCCUGGGAGCUGCGAGGAGGAGGAGCAGAGCCAGCAGGUAGGCCUGGGGUGUUGUGCUGUCUUGGCUCUGUUUGUGUCUGCUUAGGUGGCCGGCUGGCUUUGGUGCGUCAGAGGUUUGUGUUGGUGAUGUGGCAGGCUUGUUUGCUGGUGGUCUUGUGGUGGGGCUUGUCUUUUUUUUUGGUUAGGAGGCUGGUGGUAGAAAGUGGCUUGGGUGGUUUUGGUGUGGAAGGUGGAGUUGGCUUUGUGGUGUGCUGGUUGUUGGGUUUGGUGGUGGUUUUUCUUGGGAGCUGUCUGGCUUUAUUUGGUUGUUGGCAGUACAGUGGGAGGCUGGUGUGGUGGUCUCUUUUGUCUUCUGGUGGCCUUUGGUGUGUGUGUGUUUUGAGGCUGGUGGAGGGAAUGUCUUGUGGCUGGUUGUGUUGGGUAUGAGGUUGGUUGUGUGGGCAGUAGUGUGGUGUUUGUUUUGGAGCUGUGUGGUGAAACAGCCAAGAGCAGAGCCUGCCCUGGGGGUGGGCUGUGCUCUUGGCUGGUGGUGGGGGGC